rnacentral:rRNA from 1 species
UUGGAGGGCAAGUCUGGUGCCAGCAGCCGCGGUAAUUCCAGCUCCAAUAGCGUAUAUUAAAGUUGUUGCAGUUAAAAAGCUCGUAGUUGAAUUUCGGGAUUAGUACGCUGGUCGUGCCUUCGGUACGUACUGGUGUUACUGAUUCCUACCUUCUGACGAACCAUCAUGUCAUUAAUUUGGUGUGGUGGGGAAUCAGGACUGUUACUUUGAAAAAAUUAGAGUGUUUAAAGCAGGCUCGCGCUUGAAUACAUUAGCAUGGAAUAAUGAAAUAGGACGUUGAUCCUAUUUUGUUGGUUUCUAGGAUUGACGUAAUGAUUAAUAGGGAUAGUUGGGGGCAUUAGUAUUCAAUUGUCAGAGGUGAAAUUCUUGGAUUUAUUGAAGACUAACUACUGCGAAAGCAUUUGCCAAGGAUGUUUUCAUUAAUCAAGAACGAAAGUUAGGGGAUCGAAGACGAUCAGAUACCGUCGUAGUCUUAACCAUAAACUAUGCCGACUAGGGAUCGGAUGAUGUUAUUUUUAAUGACUCAUUCGGCGCCUUACGGGAAAC